AACGAACGCUGGCGGCAGGCUUAACACAUGCAAGUCGAGCGCCCCGCAAGGGGAGCGGCAGACGGGUGAGUAACGCGUGGGAAUCUACCCAUCUCUACGGAAUAACGCAUGGAAACGUGUGCUAAUACCGUAUACGUCCUUCGGGAGAAAGAUUUAUCGGAGAUGGAUGAGCCCGCGUUGGAUUAGCUAGUUGGUGGGGUAAAGGCCUACCAAGGCGACGAUCCAUAGCUGGUCUGAGAGGAUGAUCAGCCACACGGGGACUGAGACACGGCCCAGCCCACUGCGGGAGGCAGCAGUGGGGUAUAUUGGACAAUGGGCGAAAGCCUGAUCCAGCCAUGCCGCGUGAGUGAUGAAGGCCCUAGGGUUGUAAAGCUCUUUCACCGGUGAAGAUAAGGACGGUAACCGGAGAAGAAGCCCCGGCUAACUUCGUGCCAGCCGCCGCCGUAAGAC
rnacentral:rRNA from 1 species